rnacentral:rRNA from 1 species
UACGAAGGGGGCUAGCGUUGCUCGGAAUUAUUGGGCGUAAAGCGCGUGUAGGCGGCUUUGCAAGUCGGGUGUGAAAGCCCUCAGCUCAACUGAGGAAGUGCGCCCGAAACUGCAGAGCUUGAGUGCCGGAGAGGGUGGCGGAAUUCCCCAAGUAGAGAUGAAAUUCGUAGGAUAUGGGGAGGAACACCGGUGGCGAAGGCGGCCACCUGGACGGUAACUGACGCUGAGACGCGAAAGCGUGGGGAGCAAACAGG